GUUGAACGCUGGCGGCGUGCCUAAUACAUGCAAGUCGAGCGGAAGCAGGGGAAGCUUGGUUCUUUGAUGUUCGAGGGGGGCGGGGGAGUGACAUGUGGGUAAAACAGCUAUAUGGCUGGGAUUAACUAGGGGAAACGGUGCUAAAAACGGCUGAACUUUGCAACAGCAAGGUUGAAAAGUGUAAGACGUUUUUCCAGCGACUUUUCGCAGAUUCCGUUCUGUAUUAGCUAGUUGGUAAGGUAACGGCUUACCCAGGCGACGAUGCGUAGCCGAUCUGAGAGGAUGAUCAGCCACACUGGAACUGAGACACGGUCCAGACUCCUACGGGAGGCAGCAGUAGGGAAUAUUGCACAAUGGGCGAAAGCCUGAUGGAGCCAUGCCGCGUGGGUGAAGAAGGUCUUCGGAUUGUAAAGCUCUGUUAUUGGGGAAGAACAGAGGUAUGUUUAUCUGUGCACACCUUGACGUUACCCAAAGAAAAAGCCCCGGCUAACUACGUG
rnacentral:rRNA from 1 species